rnacentral:rRNA from 1 species
GUUCCUUCGGGAACGAGUACAGUGGCGCACGGGUGAGUAAGACUUAGGUAAUGUACCUUUAUGCUGGGGAUAACCAGGGGAAACUCUGGCUAAUACCGAAUGAACCGGGAGAGACUGCGGUCUUUUUCGGUAAAGCCGUAAGGCGCGUAAAGAGCAGCCUGAGUCCCAUUAGCUUGUUGGUAGGGUAAUGGCCUACCAAGGCGACAAUGGGUAGCUGGUCUGAGAGGAUGAUCAGCCACACUGGUACUGGAACACGGACCAAACUCCUACGGGAGGCAGCAGUUAGGAAUUUUGCGCAAUGGGGGAAACCCUGACGCAGCAACGCCGCGUGAGUGAAGAAGGCCCUAGGGUUGUAAAGCUCUUUUAGCAGGGAAGAAAAAAAUGACGGUACCUGCAGAAAAAGCACCGGCUAACUCCGUGCCAGCAGCCGCGGUAAUACGGAGGGGGCGAGCGUUAUUCGGAAUUACUGGGCGUAAAGAGCGCGUAGGCGGGCAGGUAAGUCUGAUGUGAAAUCCCGGGACUC